rnacentral:rRNA from 1 species
GAUGAACGCUGGCGGCGUGCCUAAUACAUGCAAGUCGAGCGAACAGACGAGGAGCUUGCUCCUCUGACGUUAGCGGCGGACGGGUGAGUAACACGUGGAUAACCUACCUAUAAGACUGGGAUAACUUCGGGAAACCGGAGCUAAUACCGGAUAAUAUAUUGAACCGCAUGGUUCAAUAGUGAAAGACGGUUUUGCUGUCACUUAUAGAUGGAUCCGCGCCGCAUUAGCUAGUUGGUAAGGUAACGGCUUACCGAGGCAACGAUGCGUAGCCGACCUGAGAGGGUGAUCGGCCACACUGGAACUGAGACACGGUCCAGACUCCUACGGGAGGCAGCAGUAGGGAAUCUUCCGCAAUGGGCGAAAGCCUGACGGAGCAACGCCGCGUGAGUGAUGAAGGUCUUCGGAUCGUAAAACUCUGCUAUUAGGGAAGAACAAAUGUGUAAGUAACUAUGCACGUCUUGACGGUACCUAAUCAGAAAGCCACGGCUAACUACGUG